rnacentral:misc_RNA from 1 species
GAUGAAGAACGUAGCGAAAUGCGAUAAGUAAUGUGAAUUGCAGAAUUCAGUGAAUCAUCGAAUCUUUGAACGCACAUUGCGCCCGCCAGCAUUCUGGCGGGCAUGCCUGUUCGAGCGUCAUUUCAACCCUCGAGCCCCCCCGGGGGCCUCGGUGUUGGGGGACGGCACACCAGCCGCCCCCGAAAUGCAGUGGCGACCCCGCCGCAGCCUCUCCUGCGUAGUAGCACACACCUCGCACCGGAGCGCGGAGGCGGUCACGCCGUAAAACGCCCAACUUUCUUAGAGUUGACCUCGGAUCAGGUAGGAAUACCCGCUGAACUUAAGCAUAUCAAUAAGCGGAGGA